AGGCGCAGGCUGAGUCUCAGAGACUGGAAGAUUUGACCAAUCAACUUGGUUGCCCUGAGAACAUGGUGCAUCAGUGGGUUCAUGAUGUCAGAGAAUGGGCUUCUGAUGAUUCUGCAGGUACCAGAUGUGAUGACCAACAACCUCUUCAGGAAUCAAUUGAAGAAAUGUUCCUUGCGGUUCAUCACAGAAAAGCCAGCCUUUAUAAUCAGACUGACAGCAACAAAAUCCGACAGUUGCGACGAAGGAAAUUGGGGAA